UACGGAGGGUGCAAGCGUUAUCCGGAUUUACUGGGUUAAAGGGUGCGUAGGUGGGUCUGUAAGUCAGUGGUGAAAUCUCCGAGCUUAACUCGGAAACUGCCAUUGAUACUAUAGAUCUUGAAUUAUCUGGAGGUGAGCGGAAUAUGUCAUGUAGCGGUGAAAUGCUUAGAUAUGACAUAGAACACCAAUUGCGAAGGCAGCUCACUACGGAUUGAUUGACACUGAGGCACGAAAGCGUGGGGAUCAAACAGG
rnacentral:rRNA from 1 species